GGAUGGCGGGCUGCCUUAACAUGCAGUCGAACGGUAACAGGGAGCUUGCUCCGCUGACGAGUGGCGAACGGGUGAGUAAUACAUCGGAACGUGCCCAGUAAUGGGGGAUAGCUCGGCGAAAGCCGGAUUAAUACCGCAUACGCCCUGAGGGGGAAAGUGGGGGACCGCAAGGCCUCACGUUAUUGGAGCGGCCGAUGGCUGAUUAGCUAGUUGGUAGGGUAAAGGCCUACCAAGGCGACGAUCAGUAGCUGGUCUGAGAGGACGAUCAGCCACACUGGGACUGAGACACGGCCCAGACUCCUACGGGAGGCAGCAGUGGGGAAUUUUGGACAAUGGGGGAAACCCUGAUCCAGCAAUGCCGCGUGUGCGAAGAAGGCCUUCGGGUUGUAAAGCACUUUUGUCAGGGAAGAAAUCCUUUGGGCUAAUACCCUAGGGGGAUGACGGUACCUGAAGAAUAAGCACCGGCUAACUACGUGCCAGCAGCCGCGGUAAUACGUAGGGUGCAAGCGUUAAUCGGAAUUACUGGGCGUAAAGCGUGCGCAGGCGGUUGUGUAAGACAGGUGUGAAAUCCCCGGGCUUAACCUGGGAAUUGCAUUUGUGACUGCACGAC
rnacentral:rRNA from 1 species